rnacentral:rRNA from 1 species
CCUACGGGAGGCAGCAGUGAGGAAUAUUGGUCAAUGGACGAGAGUCUGAACCAGCCACGUAGCGUGAAGGAUGACUGCCCUAUGGGUUGUAAACUUCUUUUAUAUGGGAGUAAAAUGUUCCGCGUGUGGGAUUGUGUAUGUACCAUAUGAAUAAGGAUCGGCUAACUCCGUGCCAGCAGCCGCGGUAAUACGGAGGAUCCGAGGGUUAUCCGGAUUUAUUGGGGUAAACGGGAGCGUAGGUGGAUUGUUAAGUCAGUUGUGAAAGUUUGCGGCUCAACCGUAAAAUUGCAGUUGAAACUGGUCUGCUUGAGUGAGCGAGAAGUAUGCGGAAUGCGUGGUGUAGCGGUGAAAUGCAUAGAUAUCACGCAGAACUCCGAUUGCGAAGGCAGCAUACCGGCGCUCAACUGACGCUGAGGCACGAAAGCGUGGGGAUCGAACAGGAUUAGAUACCCCUGUGUC